CCACGACGGACCAGCUGCGCAAGCAACGAUAAGCGCAAUAACUGCAUCGAUGUAGUGCCGCGACGGUGUCGACUGGCGAUGCAAAUCGCAUGACGACGACAACGACGAGACAACCUCGAAUGAGAUUCAAUAAACGCGGUCACGCGGCGUAGGAGAUGCGAUGCCUGGGGGAUGCCGCGCUGGAGGAUCCAGCUCGGACAUAGCAGAAUCGGUUCGAAGAGACGAAGCAGGUCCGCAGAGCCGAUUCUAAGGGGAUGCUGCGCCGGAGGAUCCGGCUCGGGUCGAGCAGGGUAAACUCGAAGAAACGAAAGCAGAAUGUGGUUGCCCUGAUCGGCAGUUCGGUGAGUCAAAA